rnacentral:rRNA from 1 species
AGAGGGUGCAAACGUUGCUCGGAAUCACUGGGCGUAAAGGGCGUGUAGGCGGGAAGGAAAGUCAGAUGUGAAAUCCCUGGGCUCAACCCAGGAACUGCAUUUGAAACUCCCUUUCUUGAGUGUCGGAGAGGAAAGUGGAAUUCCUGGUGUAGAGGUGAAAUUCGUAGAUAUCAGGAGGAACACCGGUGGCGAAGGCGGCUUUCUGGACGACAACUGACGCUGAGACGCGAAAGCGUGGGGAGCAAACAGGAUUAGAUACCCUGGUAGUCCACGCUGUAAACGAUGAACACUAGGUGUCGUGGGUAUUGACCCCCGCGGUGCCGCAGCUAACGCAUUAAGUGUUCCGCCUGGGAAGUACAGUCGCAAGACUA